CAUGCCGUAAACGAUGAUUACUAGGUGUGGGUGGUCUGACCCCAUCCGUGCCGGAGUUAACACAAUAAGUAAUCCACCUGGGGAGUACGACCGCAAGGUUGAAACUCAAAGGAAUUGACGGGGGCCCGCACAAGCAGUGGAGUAUGUGGUUUAAUUCGAAGCAACGCGAAGAACCUUACCAGGUCUUGACAUCUGCCGAAUCCCGCAGAGAUGCGGGAGUGCCCUUCGGGGAACGGUAAGACAGGUGG
rnacentral:rRNA from 1 species